GAAUUCCAGGCUGCGGGGAUCUGAGCGGUCCCUUCUUUAUCUUCUCUUACCCUCAGGCUCAGGAAGUGGGUGCUAUGGGCAGGAGAUGGGCAGUGGCCUGGGGGCUCCCAGGCCAAGCACCCAUCGCAGGCCAGCCAAGUCACCAUCCACAAUACCAUGUGGGCCCCUCCUCGGCCUGCCUGAUAGGAAGGGUCGGUCCCUUUGGGGCUCCUCAGGAGACCUUGUGGAGCAGAGGCCGCUUCUCUCUCAGGAGCCCUAGCAGGUCCAAGAGCCCUGAGAAGGAACUAGGGAUGUUUUCUGUUUCCGGGUCCCUCAGGGGCCCAGGGGCAGAUUGAGACAGGCUCCUUGCAGGGAAGGUGUUAACAAACAGCAGGUGAUUAAACAUGACAAGCGGUGACAUUUCUGUUCAGGGUUCUCAGUCCCGGCAAAGCCAAGAAUGAAGCUAUAAACCCUGACAUUUUGUGUUAUGCACUGAGAGAUUUUUAAUAGACCUCGUUCCCUCUUCCCCAGUCAGCCUCUCCCUCCUUCAGCUCCUUCACUGUGCCCACUGCUCCAGUAGCACCCUGCCACCCUGUCCACCUGGCCUCCAGGGCCCUUUCUGCCUCCCCACCCCCCAUUUUCUUCCCUCAUCCUCAGACCCCUUUGCACCUGCAGGGCCUGGUGGACACUGCCCUCUGCCCCCUCCUUUUCUUCCAUCCGUCCUGUGGCCCCUUCUGUCUCCCCCUCGCCUCCCCUCCUCUCAUCCUUCAUUCUCUCACCUCCUUUUUUUG
rnacentral:lncRNA from 1 species